AACGCACCUUGCACCCUUUGGUAUUCCGAAGGGUACACCCGUUUGAGUGUCAUUGUAAUCUCACUUCUACAACUUUUUUGUUGUCGAAUGUGGACUUGGACGUCUGCUGUGUUUCAACGGCUCGUCUUAAAUGCCUGAGUGUACCCCGCUUUGUGGCGUAUUCGGUGUGAUAAACAUUUCACCGGAGUUUGGUCUUCUGACCGCGCUUUUGCAAUUGGUGGGCUCUAUGCUUUCCAACCGUCCCUUGUGGACAAAUCUUUGACAAUUUGACCUCAAAUCGGGUGGGACUACCCGCUGAACUUAA
rnacentral:misc_RNA from 1 species